rnacentral:lncRNA from 1 species
CCCUUCAUUACUUCAUACAAGAAAUGUUUCUAUGUGAAUGUUUUUCAUGCCCACAAGAGAUUUGUCUCCUUUGUAUUAGGAUAAGUUUGGUUCAUAAUUCAAAUUCAAAUACUUUGAAUUUGACUUAAAACAACCUAGUGCUUAUCCUUAUCCUUUGCUUGUCGCAUACACCUUAAGAAAGCUGAUCAUUUGCAUGAUAAUUGAGAAGGAAAUUAUGUGAGAAAUAUCUCAUGCCUC